rnacentral:rRNA from 1 species
UUAAACUAGGGAAUAGAUACCCUAUUAUUUAAGAGCUUUACAUUGUAAGUAAAUAACAAUUAUGAAAGCAAAAAAUUAUGGCGGUAUUUUAAGCUUUUCAGAGGAAUUUGCUCUAUAAUGGAUAAAACACCUAAAUCUUACUUAAAUUAGUAAAUACAAUUUGUAUACCACUAUAAAAUUAAUUAUUAACUUUAAUUAAUAAAAUUUAUAAAAAUAUUAAAAUAAAUUAAGUCAAGGUGCAGUAAAAAUUUAAGUAUGAAGUGAAUUACAUUUCUUUUUAGAGACUGAUGAAUUAAAUUUAAAAUUAGGAUUUGAAAGUAAAAUUAAAAUAGAAUGUUAAUUUGAAUAAAGCUCUAAAAUAUGUACAUAUCGCCCGUCACUCUUAUUUAAGAUAAGUC